CGGUGGACGGGUGAGUAACGCGUGGGUAACCUACCCUGUACACACGGAUAACAUACCGAAAGGUAUGCUAAUACGGGAUAAUAUAUUUGAGAGGCAUCUCUUAAAUAUCAAAGGUGAGCCAGUACAGGAUGGACCCGCGUCUGAUUAGCUAGUUGGUAAGGCAACGGCUUACCAAGGCGACGAUCAGUAGCCGACCUGAGAGGGUGAUCGGCCACAUUGGAACUGAGACACGGUCCAA
rnacentral:rRNA from 1 species